GUCGGAGUGGCGAAAUUGGUAGACGCGCUAGGUUUAGGGCCUAGUAGGGAAACCUGUGAGAGUUCGAAUCUCUCCUCCGAUA
rnacentral:tRNA from 1 species